rnacentral:rRNA from 1 species
UAGGGAAUCUUCGGCAAUGGGGGGAACCCUGACCGAGCAACGCCGCGUGAGUGAAGAAGGUUUUCGGAUCGUAAAGCUCUGUUGUUAAGGAAGAACGAGUGUGAGAAUGGAAAGUUCAUGCUGUGACGGUACUUAACCAGAAAGGGACGGCUAACUACGUGCCAGCAGCCGCGGUAAUACGUAGGUCCCGAGCGUUGUCCGGAUUUAUUGGGCGUAAAGCGAGCGCAGGCGGUUAGAAAAGUCUGAAGUGAAAGGCAGUGGCUCAACCAUUGUAGGCUUUGGAAACUGUUUAACUUGAGUGCAGAAGGGGAGAGUGGAAUUCCAUGUGUAGCGGUGAAAUGCGUAGAUAUAUGGAGGAACACCGGUGGCGAAAGCGCCUCUCUGGUCUGUAACUGACGCUGAGGCUCGAAAGCGUGGGGAGCGAACAGG